GAGUACUCAAUGAUUCUAGUUGAAAGAAAGAAAAAAGGAAGGAAGAAAGGAGGAAGAGGCAGGCACAAGACAAAAUGAAUCUCUCCGCUGUGCACAUGGAGCCUUAGCUCUGAUUCCAGUUGAGCAAAAUUAUGAAGAAGAUGAUUCCCCAUAUGGAUGACAGAUAAACACCCUGUGGCGAGUCACUCACUCCCGAAAGGCCCUCUGAAGGAUCGCGCAUGUCCUGACUGCACAGCCUGCUCCUGAAUAAAUGGAUGUUACUACUACUAGUACUGCUUCUGCUGCCAAGUUUUUGAGCACAUAACCAGGAUGACAACCACAGUUCCACAAAGCUCUGAUAAAACAUCAAAAAGAAACUCACCACCAAGGAAACCAGAGAAUCCUUUCUUGUCUUGAGUGAAUGGCAAUGAUCUUGGUGGCCAAGAUAAUAAAUACACGUUUAUUAUAUUGAAAAACUAUUCUAAAAUAUAUGUUCUCUAUAUAAAGUAAUCUCCACAUGAUUCUGAGAAAAAGUUUAAUCUAUCUUUCUACUACAAAGUUCUUAAUAAUGCUUUGACAAGGAGGUACCAUAUCCCAAGAUGUGAUACACUUUGCUCAGUUUUUAAAUUAAACAUUCUAGAGU
rnacentral:lncRNA from 1 species